GGCAGUCUUAAAGAAGAGGCAUAGUGAUAUUACAUUGUUCUAUUAGAGCGCAUAUGAAAAAUACACUAUUUAUUGAGACAUAGGAGGAUAGCAAGCAACCACAGCCACAUUUCUCAAGAGGACUAAAUCCCCCAAUUAUUUCAUAACUUGGAAUAAAAACAUCUCCUGAUUCAUGCAGGAUUCACCUUGGUCCCCCAUCCAGCAAUUACAUAUUCCGGGGCAGUUUUCGUCUUCACGAAAGAUUCUCGAGUGUAAAGCAACUCCUUGUAGGCGAUUAAACUGGGCAAGUCUUUAGGGAUAGACCACUUCUUAAAAUGGCCAAGAGCAACAUCAACAUGGUACAACUUUGGUGCCAGGCUCAAAUCAACAGCAGUUACCUUCUCUCCAGCAACAUAAGGACCAUGAGCCUUAAGAUGCUCAUUGAGCGCCUUCAACUCUUCAAGGAAAGCCUGCUCUGAACCAUCAUUUGGGUCCUUGCUUAACAAGAAUUUUACAAAAGCACCAAACAUCUUUGAUCCCACAGAAGAAAAUUCAGGAGGAGUAACAAGAGAAGGCUCUGGAUACUUCUCCUCAAGAAUCCCCACUAUGACAUCAGAAUCAGGAACCCAUUUGCCAUCAAACUUCGCCAACGGCACCUUCCCUUCUGGGCUCACUUCAAAUAACCAACUGGGUUUUUCGGAUAGAUUGAUGAGAUGCCAUUUGUAAGGAACUUUCUUCUCCUCCAAAGUUAAGAGAACUCUAUGGCAGAAAGGGCAGUCCCCAAGCACAUCAGGUGCACCAGUGGCAGCCUUGACCGCAACUUCGAGUACCAUUUUCAUAUCAAAUGGGCAGUUGGGAAAUGUUUGAAUCUUGGAAUACGGAAGAAACUUGGGUGUGC
rnacentral:misc_RNA from 1 species